rnacentral:lncRNA from 1 species
CUCCUUGGCUUGCCUACUUGUCAUCAUAAUGUUGGGAAAAAUUAAUUUGUGGGGUGCUAUCUCUUUUUUUUCUCUGUAUUUUAUAUAUGUACUCUUCAUAUCCACCUCACAUCUAUGCCAUCGUAAAGAGGGAGUAGGGGAUGAUCGUGCAGCAUCUGGAUCUCCAAUACUGCCUGUUACUAAGAACUUUCUCGAGUACCAAACAGAAGGACUAUGUGAAGUGGAAGAGCCUUUGUUAGGUUUUGUGGGUGAUGAUAAGCCAAUUUCGAUGGAAAAAUCGGGACUAGUUCAAGUUGGUGAUGACAGGAAACGAAGAAGAAGGUGUUUGGAUCUUCAACCUUCAACUUCUAGUCACUUGUUUGUUU